rnacentral:tRNA from 1 species
UAGCUCAGAGGAUAAAGCAUCUGCCUGCAAUGCAGGAGACCGGGGUUCGAUCCCUG